rnacentral:rRNA from 1 species
UAGGGAAUCUUCGGCAAUGGGGGGAACCCUGACCGAGCAACGCCGCGUGAGUGAAGAAGGUUUUCGGAUCGUAAAGCUCUGUUGUUAAGGAAGAACGAGUGUGAGAAUGGAAAGUUCAUGCUGUGACGGUACUUAACCAGAAAGGGACGGCUAACUACGUGCCAGCAGCCGCGGUAAUACGUAGGUCCCGAGCGUUGUCCGGAUUUAUUGGGCGUAAAGCGAGCGCAGGCGGUUAGAAAAGUCUGAAGUGAAAGGCAGUGGCUCAACCAUUGUAGGCUUUGGAAACUGUUUAUCUUGAGUGCAAAAGGGGAGAGUGGAAUUCCAUGUGUAGCGGUGAAAUGCGUAGAUAUAUUGAGGAACACCGGUGGCGAAAGCGGCUCUCUGGUCUGUAACUGACGCAGAGGCUCAAAAACGUGGGGAGCGAACAGG